CGGGACGGGUGAGUAAUGUCUGGGAAACUGCCUGAUGGAGGGGGAUAACUACUGGAAACGGUAGCUAAUACCGCAUAACGUCGCAAGACCAAAGAGGGGGAUCUUCGGGCCUCUUGCCAUCGGAUGUGCCCAGAUGGGAUUAGCUAGUAGGUGGGGUAAAGGCUCACCUAGGCGACGAUCCCUAGCUGGUCUGAGAGGAUGACCAGCCACACUGGAACUGAGACACGGUCCAG
rnacentral:rRNA from 1 species